CGGAGGGUGCAAGCGUUAUCCGGAUUCACUGGGUUUAAAGGGUGCGUAGGUGAGCAAGUAAGUCAGUGGUGAAAUCUCCGGGCUUAACCCGGAAACUGCCAUUGAUACUAUUUGUCUUGAAUACUGUGGAGGUCAGCGGAAUAUGUCAUGUAGCGGUGAAAUGCUUAGAUAUGACAUAGAACACCAAUUGCGAAGGCAGCUGGCUACACAAAUAUUGACACUGAGGCACGAAAGCGUGGGGAUCAAACAGGAUUAGAUACCCUGGUAGUCCACGCCCUAAACUAUGGAUACUCGACAUUUGCGAUAAACUGCAAGUGUCUGAGCGAAAGCAUUAAGUAUCCCACCUGGGAAGUACGAUCGCAAGAUUG
rnacentral:rRNA from 1 species